rnacentral:misc_RNA from 1 species
GUAUGUAUAUUUUUUGUUCCCAGCCAUUCUAAUACAUUCAGAGAUUGUGAAAAACAUAGACCAGGUCUACAAUUCGUGCACAGUUGGAGAAAUAAAGAAAAAAACAAGCGUGCACAUGCAACUCCAAGGAGGAGAGCCAGCAACAACCCGUUUCAAGUUUAAUUCAAUAAUGAUCCUUCCGCAGGUUCACCUACGGAAA